UACGGAGGAGGCUAGCGUUGUUCGGAAUUACUGGGCGUAAAGCGUGCGUAGGCGGUUUUUUAAGAUGAGUGUGAAAGCCCGGAGCUCAACUCCGGAACUGCGCUCAUGACUGGAAAGCUGGAGUCCGAGAGAGGUGAGUGGAAUUCCCAGUGUAGAGGUGAAAUUCGUAGAUAUUGGGAAGAACACCAGUGGCGAAGGCGGCUCACUGGCUCGGUACUGACGCUGAUGCACGAAAGCGUGGGGAGCAAACAGG
rnacentral:rRNA from 1 species